rnacentral:rRNA from 1 species
UACGUAGGGUGCAAGCGUUGUCCGGAAUUAUUGGGCGUAAGGAGCUCGUAGGCGGCCUGUCGCGUCGGCUGUGAAAACCCGGGGCUCAACCCCGGGCCUGCAGUCGAUACGGGCAGGCUAGAGUCCGGCAGGGGAGACUGGAAUUCCUGGUGUAGCGGUGAAAUGCGUAGAUAUCAGGAGGAACGCCGGUGGCGAAAGCGACUCUCUGGGCCGCUCCUGACACUAAAGCGCGAGAGCUAGGGGAGCAAACAGG